rnacentral:rRNA from 1 species
CCAGCUCCAAUAGCGUAUAUUAAAGUUGUUGCAGUUAAAAAGCUCGUAGUUGGAUCUCGGGGCGUGUUGCCUUCGUCAAAGAACGACAUUCAGGAGGGCCCGGUCCGCUGUGGCGCGGCUCGUCCCCUCUGCGUCGGGCAACCGGCGUGGGGGGAAUCAGGCGGGUCGCGCAGCCUGGCGUGUACCGGCCCACCCGCCCUCUCCUUCCGGCUUCCCGUCCUUCCUAUUGAGUUAGCGGAGGACGUGGGGAUGGGGUCGAUCCAGGCGUCUGUCGGGUCGGGGGUGGGGAGUGGAGCAGGCUUCGGUCUGCCACCUUCCUCAUCCUUCCGGCAGGCGUCCGGCCUUGUCCGGGAUCCGGAUCAGUUACUGUGAAGAAAUUAGAGUGUUCAAAGCAGGUGACUUACAACCCGGCGUUCAGGGGUUCGCUUCUGGGCGUCGGGCACCACGAUGAAUACAUUAGCAUGGGAUAACGGAAUAUGACCCUGUCUUUGUUCUGUUGGUUCCUUCGAAGAUGGGGUAAUGAUUAAUAGGGAUGGUCGGGGGCAUUAAUAUUUAAUUGUCAGAGGUGAAAUUCUUGGAUUCAUGAAAGAUUAACUUCAGCGAAAGCAUCUGCCAAGGACGUUUUCAUUAAUCAAGAACGAAAGUUAGGGGAUCGAAGACGAUCAGAUACCGUCGUAGUCUUAACCAUAAACCAUGCCGACCAGCGAUCGGGAGACGUCCGCAUGGAUGACUCCCCCGGCAGCUUGUGAGAAAUCAUAAGUCUUUGGGUUCCGGGGGGAGUAUGGUCGCAAGGCUGAAACUUAAAGGAAUUGACGGAAGGGCACCACCAGGAGUGGAGCCUGCGGCUUAAUUCGACUCAAC